GGUAGAUGCGAACGGAUACAUCGAGAGAAACAGUUGCUACCAUAAACCAUGGUUGAACAAUGCACCCAAAGGCCAAUUUCUGAGGAUCAGACGCAAUUGCACUUAUGAUGAGGAUUACAUACAACAAACAACGAGAAUAAAAGAACAAUUUCUAGAAAAGGGAUAUGAAGAGGACAGACUAACUGUAGCAAUGGAAGAAGUUAAG